rnacentral:rRNA from 1 species
GUGGGGAAUAUUGGACAAUGGGCGAAAGCCUGAUCCAGCAAUGCCGCGUGCAGGAUGAAGGCCCUCGGGUUGUAAACUGCUUUUGUACGGAACGAAAAGCCUGGGGCUAAUAUCCCCGGGUCAUGACGGUACCGUAAGAAUAAGCACCGGCUAACUACGUGCCAGCAGCCGCGGUAAUACGUAGGGUGCAAGCGUUAAUCGGAAUUACUGGGCGUAAAGCGUGCGCAGGCGGUUUUGUAAGACAGUGGUGAAAUCCCCGGGCUCAACCUGGGAACUGCCAUUGUGACGGCAAGGCUAGAGUGCGGCAGAGGGGGAUGGAAUUCCGCGUGUAGCAGUGAAAUGCGUAGAUAUGCGGAGGAACACCGAUGGCGAAGGCAAUCCCCUGGGCCUGCACUGACGCUCAUGCACGAAAGCGUGGGGAGCAAACAGGAUUAGAUACCCCGGUAGUCC